GCCAGCAGCCGCGGUAACACCGGCGGCCCGAGUGGUGAUCGUGAUUAUUGGGUCUAAAGGGUCCGUAGCCGGUUUGGUCAGUCCUCCGGGAAAUCUGAUAGCUCAACUAUUAGGCUUUCGGGGGAUACUGCCAGACUUGGAACCGGGAGAGGUAAGAGGUACUACAGGGGUAGGAGUGAAAUCUUGUAAUCCCUGUGGGACCACCUGUGGCGAAGGCGUCUUACCAGAACGGGUUCGACGGUGAGGGACGAAAGCUGGGGGCACGAACCGGAUUAGAUACCCGGGUAGUCCCAGCCGUAAACGAUGCUCGCUAGGUGUCAGGCAUGGCGCGACCGUGUCUGGUGCCGCAGGGAAGCCGUGAAGCGAGCCACCUGGGAAGUACGGCCGCAAGGCUGAAACUUAAAGGAAUUGGCGGGGGAGCACAACAACGGGUGGAGCCUGCGGUUUAAUUGGACUCAACGCCGGACAACUCACCGGGGGCGACAGCAAUAUGUAGGCCAAGCUGAAGACUUUGCCUGAAUCGCUGAGGGGUGGUGCAUGG
rnacentral:rRNA from 1 species